rnacentral:rRNA from 1 species
AGGAUUUGACAUCCUUUGACGAUGGUAGAGAUAUCAUUUCCCUUCGGGCAAAGAGACAGGUGGUGCAUGGUUGUCGUCAGCUCGUGUCGUGAGAUGUUGGGUUAAGUCCCGCAACGAGCGCAACCCUCGACCUUAGUUGCCAGCAUUCAGUUGGGCACUCUAAGGUGACUGCCGGCUAAAAGUCGGAGGAAGGUGGGGAUGACGUCAAAUCAUCAUGCCCCUUAUGACCUGGGCUACACACGUGCUACAAUGGGCGGUACAAAGGGUCGCGAACCCGCGAGGGGGAGCCAAUCCCAAAAAGCCGCUCUCAGUUCGGAUUGCAGGCUGCAACUCGCCUGCAUGAAGCCGGAAUCGCUAGUAAUCGCGGAUCAGCAUGCCGCGGUGAAUACGUUCCCGGGCCUU